CCGAAUGGGGAAACCCAGUGUGUUUCGACACACUAUCAUUAACUGAAUCCAUAGGUUAAUGAGGCGAACCGGGGGAACUGAAACAUCUAAGUACCCCGAGGAAAAGAAAUCAACCGAGAUUCCCCCAGUAGCGGCGAGCGAACGGGGAGGAGCCCAGAGCCUGAAUCAGUGUGUGUGUUAGUGGAAGCGUCUGGAAAGGCGCGCGAUACAGGGUGACAGCCCCGUACACAAAAAUGCACAUAUUGUGAGCUCGAUGAGUAGGGCGGGACACGUGGUAUCCUGUCUGAAUAUGGGGGGACCAUCCUCCAAGGCUAAAUACUCCUGACUGACCGAUAGUGAACCAGUACCGUGAGGGAAAGGCGAAAAGAACCCCGGCGAGGGGAGUGAAAAAGAACCUGAAACCGUGUACGUACAAGCAGUGGGAGCCUCUUAAUGGGGUGACUGCGUACCUUUUGUAUAAUGGGUCAGCGACUUAUAUUCUGUAGCAAGGUUAACCGAAUAGGGGAGCCGAAGGGAAACCGAGUCUUAACUGGGCGUUAAGUUGCAGGGUAUAGACCCGAAACCCGGUGAUCUAGCCAUGGGCAGGUUGAAGGUUGGGUAACACUAACUGGAGGACCGAACCGACUAAUGUUGAAAAAUUAGCGGAUGACUUGUGGCUGGGGGUGAAAGGCCAAUCAAACCGGGAGAUAGCUGGUUCUCCCCGAAAGCUAUUUAGGUAGCGCCUCGUGAAUUCAUCUCCGGGGGUAGAGCACUGUUUCGGCAAGGGGGUCAUCCCGACUUACCAACCCGAUGCAAACUGCGAAUACCGGAGAAUGUUAUCACGGGAGACACACGGCGGGUGCUAACGUCCGUCGUGAAGAGGGAAACAACCCAGACCGCCAGCUAAGGUCCCAAAGUCAUGGUUAAGUGGGAAACGAUGUGGGAAGGCCCAGACAGCCAGGAUGUUGGCUUAGAAGCAGCCAUCAUUUAAAGAAAGCGUAAUAGCUCACUGGUCGAGUCGGCCUGCGCGGAAGAUGUAACGGGGCUAAACCAUGCACCGAAGCUGCGGCAGCGACACUAUGUGUUGUUGGGUAGGGGAGCG
rnacentral:rRNA from 1 species